rnacentral:lncRNA from 10 species
AGACAUAACCUUGCCAUAAGCAGCAAAGGGCUUGGUGAACCCUCAAAAAGGCUGUCAAACACCCAGAGGCCUUGGGGAUCAGGAAGGAGCUAUCAUGUGGUCUUUCAUCUAAGAGAGAAUUGUCCUGCCUGAUGGGCUUCAAACCACCAGAACAUCAGUUCUUCCUGGUUCUGCAGUAGUCUCCAACCUUCAGACUCAAACUUCAGCACCUGUUCUUCAGAUUUUGGACUUGCAGCCUCUAUAAUCACAUGAGCCAAUUCCUUAUAUAAAUUUAUUUAUACAUGCUGACAGUUGGUUCUGUUUCUCUGGAUAACCCUGACUGUUAGAGCUGUUACCUCAAAUUUGUUUUCUUAUAUUUGGUGUCUGUUUUGGAGUACUUACAAGUGCUUAAAAUGUUCUUUUUCAAUUAGGUGAGUCUCAGUCUCUAAGAUAAUUUUUUUAUUGUUCUAUUUUAUAGAUUACAUGUUAAUGUCAAUUAAGCUAUAAACAUUUUAUUGCUGAUACAUUAUCAAAAUGCUUUUCAAACAGCCAUUUCCAACAGUCUAUUCUUUGGCAAAAAAACAAUGCCAUUCUCUUGCCAUGGCCAAAUGUGAGUGCUACUAACAGGUAAACUCUUAAUUUGUAAGUGAGGCUGAAAUCUUAAAAUGCCUUCCUGAAACUUAUACAUGAUUGAUUUUGUUUAUUUGUGUAAUUUCUUUGUUCUAUGGUUUCAGCUUCAAUUGCUGAGAAAAUGUCAAGAUUAUUUCCUGAGAAUUUCCUUUGUGGCUAAGACAAAGGAGAAGUUUUAAUUUUACUAGAAACUGUGAAACGAGGCUUUUAAAAAGUUUCAUUAAAAAAAAAAUUAGGGAAGAAUAGGCAUAUUCAGAAAACCUACUUUCAUUUAGGCUGGAUUGG